rnacentral:lncRNA from 1 species
GUGAAGAAUUGCUAUAGUGGAAUGGUUAUAUGAGAAUGGCUGUGUGAGAAGGCUGUGGUGAGAAUGGCUAUAGUGAGAAUGGCUAUAGUGAGAAUGGUUAUAGUUGGAAUGGCUGUGGGUGAGAAUGGCUGUGGUGAGAAUGGCUAUAGUGAGAAUGGCUAUAGUGAGAAUGGUUAUAGUGAGAAUGGCUAUAGUGAGAAUGGCUGUGGUGAGAAUGGCUGUGGUGAGAAUGGCUGUGGUGAGAAUGGACGUGGUGAGAAUGGCUGUGGUGAGAAUGGACGUGGUGAGAAUGGCUAUAGUGAGAAUGGCUGUGGUGAGGACAAAGAGAGGUGGAGAUAAUCACACCAAGGAAGAUUCCUACGCAUUGUAGAAUGUUCGACACACAAUAGGUUGUAA